ensembl:ncRNA R06C7.12 ncRNA
AUCGAACAAAAGUUUAAGGAUCGUAAUCAAAUAUGAUUUCAAUUGGAAAUUCCAAUUUGAACUAAAUAGGUACUAUUGAAUAAACUCUUUGAAAUGUUGA